rnacentral:rRNA from 1 species
UACGUAGGGGCUAGCGUUAUCCGGAUUUACUGGGCGUAAAGGGUGCGUAGGUGGUUUCUUAAGUCAGGAGUGAAAGGCUACGGCUUAACCGUAGUAAGCUCUUGAAACUGGGAAACUUGAGUGCAGGAGAGGAAAGUGGAAUUCCUAGUGUAGCGGUGAAAUGCGUAGAUAUUAGGAGGAACACCAGUAGCGAAGGCGGCUUUCUGGACUGUAACUGACACUGAGGCACGAAAGCGUGGGGAGCAAACAGGAUUAGAUACCCCAGUAGUCCCUGAGCGGGCUGG